rnacentral:rRNA from 2 species
CCGAACCGACUAAUGUUGAAAAAUUAGCGGAUGACCUGUGGCUGGGGGUGAAAGGCCAAUCAAACCGGGAGAUAGCUGGUUCUCCCCGAAAGCUAUUUAGGUAGCGCCUCGUGAAUUCAUCUCCGGGGGUAGAGCACUGUUUCGGCUAGGGGGCCAUCCCGGCUUACCAACCCGAUGCAAACUGCGAAUACCGGAGAAUGUUAUCACGGGAGACACACGGCGGGUGCUAACGUCCGUCGUGAAGAGGGAAACAACCCAGACCGCCAGCUAAGGUCCCAAAGUCAUGGUUAAGUGGGAAACGAUGUGGGAAGGCCCAGACAGCCAGGAUGUUGGCUUAGAAGCAGCCAUCAUUUAAAGAAAGCGUAAUAGCUCACUGGUCGAGUCGGCCUGCGCGGAAGAUGUAACGGGGCUAAACCAUGCACCGAAGCUGCGGCAGCGACACUGUGUGUUGUUGGGUAGGGGAGCGUUCUGUAAGCCUGUG